rnacentral:misc_RNA from 1 species
GAUGAAGGACGUAGCGAAAUGCGAUACGUAAUGUGAAUUGCAGAAUUCAGUGAAUCAUCGAGUCUUUGAACGCACAUUGCGCCCCCUGGUAUUCCGGGGGGCAUGCCUGUCCGAGCGUCAUUGCUGCCCUCAAGCACGGCUUGUGUGUUGGGCCUCCGUCCUCCUCCCGGGGGACGGGCCCGAAAGGCAGCGGCGGCACCGCGUCCGGUCCUCGAGCGUAUGGGGCUUCGUCACCCGCUCUUGUAGGCCCGGCCGGCGCUUGCCGACACAUCAAUCUUUUUUCCAGGUUGCCCUCGGAUCAGGUAGGGAUACCCGCUGAACUUAAGCAUAUCAAUAAGCGGAGGA